GAUGAACGCUGGUGGCGUGCCUAAUACAUGCAAGUCGAGCGAAUGGAUUAAGAGCUUGCUCCUAUGAAGUUAGCGGCGGACGGGUGAGUAACACGUGGGUAACCUGCCCAUAAGACUGGGAUAACUCCGGGAAACCGGGGCUAAUACCGGAUAACAUUUUGAACCGCAUGGUUCGAAAUUGAAAGGCGGCUUCGGCUGUCACUUAUGGAUGGACCCGCGUCGCAUUAGCUAGUUGGUGAGGUAACGGCUCACCAAGGCAACGAUGCGUAGCCGACCUGAGAGGGUGAUCGGCCACACUGGGACUGAGACACGGCCCAGACUCCUACGGGAGGCAGCAGUAGGGAAUCUUCCGCAAUGGACGAAAGUCUGAUGGAGCAACGCCGCGUGAGUGAUGAAGGCUUUCGGGUCGUAAAACUCUGUUGUUAGGGAAGAACAAGUGCUAGUUGAAUAAGCUGGCACCUUGACGGUACCUAACCAGAAAGCCACGGCUAACUACGUGCCAGCCGCCGCAGUAA
rnacentral:rRNA from 1 species